GCGAUUGAAUUUAACGCAAAUGAAUUAACCUGUUAGGAAAAGAACAACCUGGAGAUGCAUAGCCCCACAGCUCUCUUAACAUACAUGCCAUGUUCCUGGUAUAUAGGUUUAAGGAUCUUGGAAAUAUGAAGGAGAAAUGUAUAUGUGGACACACACUCUCCUUUACUUGCGUGCGGAACACAAAUCAGAAGGGAGACAUGAAUAAAUAAGACAGUAGAAACACUCAUCCAAACAGAAUAUGUUUACGGAAUUUGCAUAGACUAAUGAGGUUACAGGUGCUGGACAGUUUUUCAUAUCAUCACAUUUGCUCAUACGGGUGAGGAAACAGAAAGGAAACAUGAGAGAACAUUCACCUUAUGUUGGUGGAACAAUGUACAGCCAGCAAAUCUCCUGCAUG